AACGCACAUUGCGCCCCUUGGUAUUCCGAGGGGCAUGCCUGUUCGAGCGUCAUUAUGACCACUCAAGCCUAGCUUGGUAUUGGGGUUCGCGGUCCCGCGGCUCUUAAAAUCAGUGGCGGCGCCAUCUGGCUCUAAGCGUAGUAAUCUUUCUCGCUACAGAGUCCCGGUGGAUGCUUGCCAGCAACCCCUAUUUUCUUAGGUUGACCUCGGAUCAGGUAGGGAUACCCGCUGAACUUAA
rnacentral:misc_RNA from 1 species